GGGACGGGCGGCGAUAAGGGACGGACAGACAGCGCCGGCCGGAGCAAGGGCGAGCAGCCGCGAAACUCAGCCGGCAAUGACCGUGAUCCCUGCGAAACAGGCAAUCCCCACCCCGUCCUUCAGCUCCUGAAGGAGCACGAGUCGCCUCGCUGAAGGAUAAAUUGAAGCCCGCCCGUGUUGCUCCACUGCGAGCGCGUUCCUCGCUCCGUGUGAGUAAUUAAAGCAGUGGGACACGAACACUCAUUUCUGAAUCAGUGUCUGCAAACAUCUCACAGCCUUUUGGAAAAAGCAACUUCCCAAUGGUUUCUGUAGAGUAAGGAUUAACUCUUUGCCUGGACAGAGCCAAAACACAUCAGGUUGGAGUGUCCAAGGAAAAAACUUGUGGUUUUUAGGAGAGACUGACAGCUGCCCUUCACCCAGGAGGGUCCUUCUGUGCUGACCUGGAGCCCUGCAGCCUCCACUGAACCAAAUGGAAAGGCUCAAGUGAAAGAACAGUGCUGCCAAGGAAAAAACACCUUGAAGUCUCUCAUUUGUAAAGCCCUCCUGGAAGUGGAAAGCAUUCACGAUUCUCCUUGUUGUUAUUACUGCUGAAAAAAUUACAAGAGAAUUGACCAACGAAGGCAACAAAGUCUUUUCAUAGUAAGGAACAGUUCCAUGUGGCAAAAAAGACACCUUUGCUUACAUGAUACAAGAUACUUUGGUUUCCAUUUAAAAACGUGCUUUUCUGUAUCUCAAGGAGUGUUUUUCUCUGGGCAGCAAAGGAGGUUUUGAUGAGCUUUAUUAAUUUUUGCUGAGGACAUCUGUGCGCCCAUUAUGAAAUAGUUCUUCCUUACAGCCAGCACCAGCCAGUCUGCAGUCUUUCCAACAAGAUUUUAGGUGUAGAAUGCAAAGUUGACCAUCACUCAGCCUUCACAUGGACUGAAUUAAAUUCCACUGAGAGCAGCAGUACCCUGGAGCUGGAGCAGAGGAGCAGAUGAGUGUGUGGAGCCUGCAGUUGUAGUCAUAAUUCUGAUUAUUUGUGCACUGCUUCCAGUGUCGCUCCUUAACUCAUGCUGCGGACUGGAGAAGGGCUCGUUCCUCUGCAGCACUGACACUCCACAGACACAAACUCCCUUUGCCAGGCUGUAAUUAAGGCACAGUCCCUGGAAUAAUUCCCUUUCCUGUGUGGGAGCAGCGGCAGCUGCCAGGGCAGGGGAAGCCCUGGGAAUUGGUGUGAGGCAGGGCAUGGCCUGACCACCUGCAUUGUUUCAAGUGAACAUUUCCACCCAUGUGCUGAGGGGUGCAAACAUAUUCCAGCAUCCUGACUGAGCUCUGGAUGGGAGCUCUGCUUCACCCCCUGAUUAAUUCCCUUUAAAGCUAACAAUAACAUAGAAGGAGACUGCACACAAGUACCAGCCUCCAAGCAGCUUGUAAUUGCUUUUUUGGCAAAUAAUUGUAAAGGGCUCUGUGUUUUCAGAGCUGCAAGGUUCAUUCACAGAUACAUUUGGCAAAAGAAAUCACAGACCUACCAUACACUCUCUGCUGGAUUAUCUACUACAAAAUCCUUAGCCAAAGAUUAAAAGGAAAAAUCACAGAUGCAUUUCAGCUUUCACAGUUUAAGUAGCAAAUGGCUUCAGCAAAUAAUUAAUAUGACAGAAAGAGGAUUUGCUGAGUAAGGCAACAUCACCAAUAUUACUAGAUCAACUUAAUUGUGUUCUGCCUUGCUGGUUAACCCUGCCCUGAGUAUUACUAAGGACAUAAACCAGAAGUCUUGUGCUGUUGUAUCUCUGCUCUCCCCAGCCUCCAGCCUGGUUUGCUCUGAGCUGGGUUGGUACAGGAUGAAUAGGUGGAAAUAUUUAACACUGUAGCCAUUCCUCAAAAGCGUUUGAGUUAUUUUAGGUAGAUCAUGCUGGCCUCUGUGGUGCUUGGGUUGCUACUUAGAAUGUUCUUUCAAGUCUCUUCACUUGGCCUGUUAAGCACUUAAGGAUAAAUUGCAUAGAGACUGUGGGCAUUCAUCUUAACUCAAUGACUAGACUUUUGAGUAUUAAUAAAAAAAUCAGGUUUGUUUGUUUGUUUGUUUGCUUUCAAUGUGGAGAGCACUUCUGCUCUGCUAGUUGCUUGUAUCAGGAAAGAAACCAAGCAGAGAAACUCUAAUUUAGAAAGGAUGAUCCUACAGCCACAUUUCAAAGAAUUUGUUCAGCAAUAAAGAGUCUGGAUUAAAGUGAAACAUAAGGGAUCAAUAGUUCCCAUUUCAGAGAAAAUGAGGAUUAUUGGACAGAAAGCAAAUCCCAGCCUUUGGUUUGAUGAUUGGAAAUGCAUACAGUAAAUGUACCUGCAAAGCAAUCGAUGGACACAGUUUGUGCUUUGCCUCUGAGAGCUGAAGGGCAAGGAAACAGGAGCAGCUCCCUGUGAGCUUGUGCCCCCUUUCUGAAGCAGUGAGAACAAUUGCUGUUGGCACAGGGACACUCCUUGCACCUCAUCCUCAUCAGCAGUUGGAUUCCUGUUUUCAUAAAUGGUUUCUCCUUACUCGUAAAAUAUGCAUGGUCUAAAUUGUAGGCUAUGGUAUAUAACUUCAUUUACCCUGCUGAAAGUGUAGCAUUCUUACAGUUCUCAUACAUGAGUGCAAUUUAACAUAGAAAGCUCUCCUGGAAAAGAAGGAUAAUUUUUUCCCCUCUUCUAUUACAAAAAAAAAAAUUACUUUAAAUUCCAUUAGCUGAGUUUUUAAUAACUGAUAUGAACGUGCUUUCCUGUGUUUAUUAUUUUUGGAAACUUGUUUUGAAGAAUAGUCUGUACAACAUACCUUUGGUUAUUCUUUACCCUUAAAGAAAAUACUCAGUAAACUUGGUACAUGAAACAAUUGGACAACUUGAAUAUAUGACCUAAUUUAUGAGUGUUGCUUUUUUUGGCACAACUUACCCCUCAUUGAAAGCAGCACCCUGUAACUGCAUUAUUAGCUUGGCAAUACCCACUGCAAUGAAGAGGUAGCUGAAAUCUGUGCUUCUCCAUCCCAUUAACAAUCCAGAUUUUACAGCCCCACACUUUGAGGGAAUAAAUUGGCAAUAAAAAAUUGUUGACUUACAAAACA